rnacentral:rRNA from 1 species
AGUGAACGCUGGCGGCAGGCCUAACACAUGCAAGUCGAACGGCAGCACAGGGGAGCUUGCUCCCUGGGUGGCGAGUGGCGGACGGGUGAGGAAUACAUCGGAAUCUGCCCUGUCGUGGGGGAUAACGUAGGGAAACUUACGCUAAUACCGCAUACGACCUCCGGGUGAAAGCAGGGGAUCGCAAGACCUUGCGCGAUUGGAUGAGCCGAUGUCCGAUUAGCUAGUUGGCGGGGUAAAGGCCCACCAAGGCGACGAUCGGUAGCUGGUCUGAGAGGAUGAUCAGCCACACUGGAACUGAGAAACGGUCCAGACUCCUACGGGAGGCAGCAGUGGGGAAUAUUGGACAAUGGGCGAAAGCCUGAUCCAGCCAUGCCGCGUGGGUGAAGAAGGCCUUCGGGUUGUAAAGCCCUUUUGUUGGGAAAGAAAACUUUCCGGUUAAUACCCGGAGAGAAUGACGGUACCCAAAGAAUAAGCACCGGCUAACUUCGUG